GACGAACCGUGCGAACGUUGUUCGGAAUCACUGGGCUUAAAGGGCGCGUAGGCGGCAGUCCAAGUCCGGGGUGAAAGCCCCCAGCUCAACUGGGGAAGUGCCUUGGAAACUGGAGUGCUCGAGGGAGGUAGGGGCAGAGGGAACUUCUGGUGGAGCGGUGAAAUGCGUUGAUAUCAGAAGGAACGCCGGUGGCGAAAGCGCUCUGCUGGACCUCUUCUGACGCUGAGGCGCGAAAGCCAGGGGAG
rnacentral:rRNA from 1 species